CGCGCCCCCCCCCCUGCCCCCCGCCACACCUCAGUACUCUUGUAGCAGCUUUCUUCUGAAUCACCCACUAGACUUGUUCAGACAUUGUCCCAGAUGGGAAUAUCACAUUUCAUGAGUCUUUAAGAAAAAUCUCCCAACCAGAUUAUCAGCUCCUGUGGUACCCACUGUAGGUGCUCUACAGAUACUCCGUGAAAAACGGUCCAAAGAAUAACUCUUAGAUGGGCACAUGUGAUGUGCCAGGUGCUGUUCUACCUGCUAUAGAAACUCAUUUAGCCCACAAAUAGCCUUCUGGGUCAAUAGUCUUAUUACCUCCCCUUUACAAAUGGGUAAACUGAGGUACAAGGAGGUUAAUUAACUUGCUAGGAAGCAGCAAAGCCAGGAUUUGAACUCCAAUGGACCAGCACCAGAGACCAGUGGAUGUGUUAACACUUUUCGCCUUUGAUCGUGGCAGAGGGUGAAGGGGCUGCAGGUGAUGCCCCAAGGGCUGGCCCAUCCCGAAGGUGCCUCUGAGCAAGCUGACUCUCUGAGUCUUAGGGGCUGACCACAGGUGAAAUUUGCACCUUGGCUGGCCUCUGCUAGCGUCUGUCUUUCUGAGCCUCCCUUUCCACAGGUGUGGAGCUGGGCGAUUUACUGCUUUUCCUCUGCCAUUCGGAGUGAAGAUGACUGCUGACUUCUGUUCUGGGUGGUAGUUCUGGAUUCAGGAGAAGGGUCAGAGGCUGGACACAGGCUCCUCCCAGAGGAGCCGUGGUUACUCAAGGUCCACAGGUGACUUUCAUAGGACAGCAUAGUUGGCCGGUGGCAGAGGGGGAACCUGAACCCAAGUCUCUGAGUUCCAGUUUCAUCAGCUGGCUGCCUGGAUCCUUCAUGCGUGGCCUGUCUCUGCUGUCCUCGGUUGUCCAAUCUGGAGGAGGAGAAUGGAGUCCCAGAGAGACGAAUGAUCAAGCCAUACGCCAGGAACAGACUUGGGAAUCCUGUUGCUGAACUCAGCUGAGGUCAGAAACCUCAGUGAAGCUCCAUCCCUUUGAGAUGAUGAGGUGACACUUGAGUCGUCCGGUUGCAUUGAAAGGGCGGGCCUACGCCGGCCAACUCCAUCUUGUUCUGUGUCCUUCACCUUGACCACGCCUCCUCCCCUUGAAUAACCACCCCCC